rnacentral:rRNA from 1 species
UUUCGCAAUGCCCGAAAGGGUGACCGAGCGACGCCGCGUGUGGGAUGAAGGCCUUCGGGUUGUAAACCACUGUCAGUGGGGAAGAAUACCCGCAUGGUGAAUGCGGGGGUGACGGUACCCGCAGAGGAAGCCACGGCUAACUCCGUGCCAGCAGCCGCGGUAAUACGGAGGUGGCGAGCGUUGUUCGGAAUUACUGGGCGUAAAGGGCGCGUAGGCGGAAUGGUCCGUCCGAUGUGAAAGUGCUACCGCUCAACGGAGCAAAGCCAUCGGAAACCGCCAUUCUUGAGUCCGGGAGAGGUGAGUGGAAUUGCCAGUGUAGCGGUGGAAUGUGUAGAUAUUGGCAAGAACACCGGUGGCGAAGGCGGCUCACUGGCCCGGUUCUGACGCUGAGUGCGCGAAAGCGUGGGGAGCGAACAGGAUUAGAUACCCUGGUAGUCCACGCCCUAAACGGUGGGCACUAAGUAGAGGGGUUUUAAUCUC